UACGUAGGGUGCGAGCGUUAAUCGGAAUUACUGGGCGUAAAGCGUGCGCAGGCGGUUUGUUAAGUCCGUUGUGAAAGCCCCGAGCUCAACUUGGGAAUUGCAGUGGAUACUGGCAAGCUGGAGUACGGUAGAGGAAGGUGGAAUUCCCGGUGUAGCAGUGAAAUGCGUAGAUAUCGGGAGGAACACCAGUGGCGAAGGCGGCCUUCUGGACCAGUACUGACGCUCAUGCACGAAAGCGUGGGGAGCAAACAGG
rnacentral:rRNA from 1 species